rnacentral:rRNA from 1 species
GUGGGGAAUAUUGGGCAAUGGGCGAAAGCCUGACCCAGCAACGCCGCGUGAAGGAAGAAGGUCUUCGGAUCGUAAACUUCUAUCCUUGGUGAAGAUAAUGACGGUAGCCGAGAAGGAAGCCCCGGCUAACUACGUGCCAGCAGCCGCGGUAAUACGUAGGGGGCAAGCGUUGUCCGGAAUGAUUAGGCGUAAAGGGCGCGUAGGCGGCCUGGUAAGUCUGGAGUGAAAGUCCUGCUUUUAAGGUGGGAAUUGCUUUGGAUACUGUCGGGCUUGAGUGCAGGAGAGGUAAGUGGAAUUCCCGGUGUAGCGGUGAAAUGCGUAGAGAUCGGGAGGAACACCAGUGGCGAAGGCGACUUACUGGACUGUAACUGACGCUGAGGCGCGAAAGUGUGGGGAGCAAACAGGAUUAGAAACCCCAGUAGUCC